rnacentral:rRNA from 1 species
UCCGUAGGUGAACCUGCGGAAGGAUCAUUACCGAGUGAGGGCCCUCUGGGUCCAACCUCCCACCCGUGUCUAUCGUACCUUGUUGCUUCGGCGGGCCCGCCGUUUCGACGGCCGCCGGGGAGGCCUUGCGCCCCCGGGCCCGCGCCCGCCGAAGACCCCAACAUGAACGCUGUUCUGAAAGUAUGCAGUCUGAGUUGAUUAUCGUAAUCAGUUAAAACUUUCAACAACGGAUCUCUUGGUUCCGGCAUCGAUGAAGAACGCAGCGAAAUGCGAUAAGUAAUGUGAAUUGCAGAAUUCAGUGAAUCAUCGAGUCUUUGAACGCACAUUGCGCCCCCUGGUAUUCCGGGGGGCAUGCCUGUCCGAGCGUCAUUGCUGCCCUCAAGCACGGCUUGUGUGUUGGGCCCCCGUCCCCCUCUCCCGGGGGACGGGCCCGAAAGGCAGCGGCGGCACCGCGUCCGGUCCUCGAGCGUAUGGGGCUUUGUCACCUGCUCUGUAGGCCCGGCCGGCGCCAGCCGACACCCAACUUUAUUUUUCUAAGGUUGACCUCGGAUCAGGUAGGGAUACCCGCUGAACUUAAG